AGCGAACGCUGGCGGCAUGCUUAACACAUGCAAGUCGAGCGGGCAUCCUUUUGGUUUGAGCGGCAGACGGGUGAGGAACGCGUGGGUACGUGCCCUGUGGUUCGGACUAACUCAGGGGAACUUUUCCUAAUACCGGGUACGUUAGAGGGCAGGAAGGCCUAUUUGCGGUAGGCUCGGGCCGCGUCUGGUUGGUUAGUUGGUGAGUUUAUGGCUCACCGAUGAGACGAUCGGUAGCUGGUCGGAGAGGCUGUGCAGCUACACUGGGCAUGAGACACGGACCCGACCCCUAGGGGGAGGAGCGGUAGGGAAUAUAGGAGGAGGGGGGCAACCCUGAUAACGCCAUGCCGCGUGAGUGAUGCCGGCCUUAGGGUUGUAAAGCUCUUUUCUACGGGACGAGAAUGACGGUACCGGAGGAAGAAGCCCCGGCUAACUUCGUG
rnacentral:rRNA from 1 species